UUUUUUUAUUUUCUUUUACAGUUUUACAAUAUUUUAAUAGGUCUUUGUGAAUCUAAUUAGAAGACCAGUUUGUGAGGGUACAUUCCAUUUGACAAGAAAAAUACUGAGUGCAGGCAUCCACGAAGCUGGGGCUCUUUCUUGACCAAUGGCAGGAGCUGAGAGUCCACGAAUUUCUGAUCUGCUUUGCGCUGUUGUGUGACUGCAUAUUUUUCCUUCUCUGUGUCAAAAAUCUCUCCCUCCUGGUGCUUGGGUCUGCACAUUACCUUUUGAAGUAUCAUUCAGAUGCUUUGGAAUGUUAACAGUUGAGAUAUCAACUUUGGUGGAAGUGGCAAUUACAAACUUUUGGUGAGCCCUACGCAGAGGCACUCUGUUGACAGCCAGUGGUCCUGUUACCAGCAAAAGGCCAGAUUGAAGCUGCUUCAGGAAGAUCACACGCUUUCCUCUGUGACGUGCGUUUAGAAGGAUAAGCACAGUCCCAGGAGUAAUUGAAGAGCGCAGAUUGCGCUUGUGCUUACUGAAAGGUUUCUUUCCGUGGCUCAGAAGUUUGCAUGGAACAUCUUCAAU